GACAGAGGUGCCGAGCGUUAGGCGGAAUCACUGGGCUUAAAGCGUGUGUAGGCGGGCGGGCAAGUACCUUGUGAAAUCCCACGGCUCAACCGUGGAACUGCUGGGUAUACUGCCUGUCUUGAGCCAGCCAGGGGCAGUCGGAACAGACGGUGGAGCGGUGAAAUGCGUAGAUAUCGUCUGGAACGCCAAAGGUAAAAACAGACUGCUGGGGCUGUGCUGACGCUGAGACACGAAAGCCAGGGGAGCGAACGGG
rnacentral:rRNA from 1 species